rnacentral:rRNA from 1 species
AUUGAACGCUGGCGGCAUGCCUUACACAUGCAAGUCGAACGGCAGCACGGGGCAACCUGGUGGCGAGUGGCGAACGGGUGAGUAAUGCAUCGGAACGUACCUUUCAGUGGGGGAUAACGUAGCGAAAGUUACGCUAAUACCGCAUAUUCUGUGAGCAGGAAAGCAGGGGAUCGCAAGACCUUGCGCUGAUUGAGCGGCCGAUGUCAGAUUAGCUAGUUGGUGAGGUAAAGGCUCACCAAGGCGACGAUCUGUAGCGGGUCUGAGAGGAUGAUCCGCAACACGGGAAGUGAGAACCGGUCCGGACUCCUCCGGGGGGCAGAAGUGGGAAAUUUUGAACAAGGGGGCAACCCUGAUCCAGCCAUGCCGCGUGAGUGAAGAAGGCCUUCGGGUUGUAAAGCUCUUUCGGCCGGGAAGAAAUCGCACGGGCUAAUACCCUGUGUGGAUGACGGUACCGGAAUAAGAAGCACCGGCUAACUACGUGCCAGCAGCCGCCGUAA